rnacentral:rRNA from 1 species
GAGGAAUAUUGGACAAUGGUCGGAAGACUGAUCCAGCCAUGCCGCGUGCAGGAUGAAGGUCCUAUGGAUUGUAAACUGCUUUUGUAAGGGAAGAAUAAGGGGUACGUGUACUUUGAUGACGGUACCUUACGAAUAAGCAUCGGCUAACUCCGUGCCAGCAGCCGCGGUAAUACGGAGGAUGCGAGCGUUAUCCGGAAUCAUUGGGUUUAAAGGGUCCGUAGGCGGGCUGAUAGGUCAGAGGUGAAAGCGCUUAGCUCAACUAAGCAACUGCCUUUGAAACUGUUAGUCUUGAAUGAUUGUGAAGUAGUUGGAAUGUGUAGUGUAGCGGUGAAAUGCUUAGAUAUUACACAGAACACCGAUAGCGAAGGCAUAUUACUAACAAUUUAUUGACGCUGAUGGACGAAAGCGUGGGGAGCGAACAGGAUUAGAUACCCUGGUAGUCCACGCUGUAAACGAUGGAUACUAGCUGUUUGGAGCAAUCUGAGUGGCUAAGCGAAAGUGAUAAGUAUCCCACCUGGGGAGUACGCACGCAAGUGUG